GUAGGGGGCGAGCGUUAUCCGGAUUCACUGGGCGUAAAGGGCGCGCAGGCGGCUACGUAAGUCCGGCGUGAAAUCCCAUGGCUUAACUGUGGAACUGCGUCGGAUACUGCGUUGGCUUGAGGAUGGUAGAGGCCAUUAGAACUAGCGGUGUAGCGGUGAAAUGCGCAGAUAUCGCUAGGAAUGCCGGUGGCGAAGGCGGAUGGCUGGGCCACUCCUGACGCUGAGGCGCGAAAGCUAGGGGAGCGAACCGGAUUAGAUACCCGGGUAGUCCUAGCCGUAAACGGUGGGUGCUAGGUGUGGGGAUCGCAAGAUUUCCGUGCCGCAGCUAACGCAUUAAGCACCCCGCCUGGGGAGUACGGCCGCAAGGCUA
rnacentral:rRNA from 1 species